rnacentral:misc_RNA from 1 species
GUGAUAAUCAAUCAAAAUAAUACAUCUAAAUCUACCAAUGACUUGAAUCUAAUUAAAUCUUAAACACAAUCCAAAAUUAAUUCACAAGUAAUCUGAUACGGGGGAGAGAGGGCAAUGGAGCGGUGCUGCAGUGAGAAGACCAACCAUUCAUUCAUACAUCACUUACCGGCCUUCACUUGUAGGUUUCUCAUCCCAACAUUAACCUUUUCCAUACCAGAUUCACUCUUCACCUCUGUUUGGUUUUGACCUUUAAUGUUGAGCCAUGGGUGUUGCAAGCA